rnacentral:rRNA from 1 species
CACGUAGGAGGCAAACGUUAUCCGGAUUUACUGGGCGUAAAGCGCGUGUAGGUGGUUCUGUAAGUAGGGCGUGAAAGCUCCCGGCUCAACUGGGAGAGGCCGUUCUAAACUGCAGAGCUAGAGGAUGGUAGAGGGAGGUGGAAUUCCAGGUGUAGCGGUGGAAUGCGUAGAUACUGGUAGGAACACCCAUUGCGAAGGCAGCUCGCUGGACAACACGUGACACUGAGGCGCGAAAGUGUGGGGAGCAAACCGGAUUAGAUACCCGUGUAGU